rnacentral:rRNA from 1 species
AACGAACGCUGGCGGCAGGCCUCAAACAUGCAAGUCUAGGGGGUGUAGCAAUACAUCACCGGCGGACGGGUGCGUAACGCGUGGGAAUAUACCUAUCGAUUCGGAACAACUGAGGGAAACUUCAGCUAAUACCGAAUACGUCCUAACGGAGAAAGAUUUAUCGUCGAUAGAUUAGCCCGCGUUCGAUUAGCUAGUUGGUGGGGUAACGGCCCACCAAGGCGACGAUCGAUAGCUGUUCUGAGAGGAAGAUCAGCCACACUGGGACUGAGACACGGCCAGACUCCGUACGGGAGGCAGCAGGUGGGGAAUAUUGCGCAAGUGGGGACGAAAGCCUGACGCAGCGACGCCGC